rnacentral:RNase_P_RNA from 1 species
GUGCUUUUUCGGAUGACCGCUCCUUAAAGGAGAGGAAAGUCCGUGCUUCCAAGGACAGCCGUAGUGGGUAACGCCCAUCUUCCGUAAUACGCUGAAGGUGCAAAUCAUCGGCGGAAAGCGGAACGGAUCAGAGCCACAGAGACGAGUCUUUUUGAGGGUAAACCCUCGAAAAGGGUGAAACGCGGCAAUCUCUACGGGGAAGAAAGGCUAAACGGAAAAGACCAGCAAUGGGAAGCGGUCCGCUUCAACCCCGAGGUAACGGAGGGUUUCUUUUCGGGUAAGCCGCUAGCGAAGCUUCGCAAGGAGCUUUCAAGAUAGAUGGUCAUCGUUUGCUGUAAAGCAAAUACAGAACACGGCUUAUAGAAAAAGUGCUCUU